GUGCACGCUGGCGGUAGGCCUAACACCUGCCAGUCGAACGGCAGCACCGUAAGAGCUUGCUCUUACGGGUGGCGAGUGGCGGACGGGUGAGGAAUACAUCGGAAUCUACUUUUUCGUGGGGGAUAACGUAGGGAAACUUACGCUAAUACCGCAUACGACCUACGGGUGAAAGCAGGGGAUCUUCGGACCUUGCGCGAUUGAAUGAGCCGAUGUCGGAUUAGCUAGUUGGCGGGGUAAAGGCCCACCAAGGCGACGAUCCGUAGCUGGUCUGAGAGGAUGAUCAGCCACACUGGAACUGAGACACGGUCCAGACUCCUACGGGAGGCAGCAGUGGGGAAUAUUGGACAAUGGGCGCAAGCCUGAUCCAGCCAUACCGCGUGGGUGAAGAAGGCCUUCGGGUUGUAAAGCCCUUUUGUUGGGAAAGAAAAGCAGCAGGUUAAUACCCCGCUGUUCUGACGGUACCCAAAGAAUAAGCACCGGCUAACCUCGUG
rnacentral:rRNA from 1 species